rnacentral:rRNA from 1 species
GACGAACGCUGGCGGCGUGCCUAAUACAUGCAAGUAGAACGCUGAAGAGAGGAGCUUGCUCUUCUUGGAUGAGUUGCGAACGGGUGAGUAACGCGUAGGUAACCUGCCUGGUAGCGGGGGAUAACUAUUGGAAACGAUAGCUAAUACCGCAUAAAAUGGAUUAUCGCAUGAUAAUCCAUUGAAAGGUGCAAAUGCAUCACUACCAGAUGGACCUGCGUUGUAUUAGCUAGUUGGUGGGGUAACGGCUCACCAAGGCGACGAUACAUAGCCGACCUGAGAGGGUGAUCGGCCACACUGGGACUGAGACACGGCCCAGACUCGUACGGGAGGCAGCAGUAGGGAAUCUUCGGCAAUGGACGGAAGUCUGACCGAGCAACGCCGCGUGAGUGAAGAAGGUUUUCGGAUCGUAAAGCUCUGUUGUAAGAGAAGAACGAGUGUGAGAGUGGAAAGUUCACACUGUGACGGUAUCUUACCAGAAAGGGACGGCUAACUACGUG